rnacentral:rRNA from 1 species
UACGGGGGGGGCAAGCGUUGUUCGGAAUUACUGGGCGUAAAGGGCUCGUAGGCGGCCAACUAAGUCAUACGUGAAAUCCCUCGGCUUAACCGGGGAACUGCGUCUGAUACUGGAUGGCUUGAGUUCGGGAGAGGGAUGCGGAAUUCCAGGUGUAGCGGUGAAAUGCGUAGAUAUCUGGAGGAACACCGGUGGCGAAGGCGGCAUCCUGGACCGAUUCUGACACUGAGGAGCGAAAGCGUGGGGAGCGAACAGG